AGGACGAACGCUGGCGGCGCGCUUAACACAUGCAAGUCGAGCGAGAACCGGGGCUUCGGCCCCGGGGACAGCGGCGAACGGGUGAGUAACACGUGGGUAAUCAACCCUCGGCACCGGGAUAGCCCGAGGAAACUCGGAUUAAUACCGGAUGGCCCCUCCGACUCUCGAGUCGGUCGGGAAAGGUAGCUUAGGCCUCUGGCCGGGGACGAGCCCGCGGCGGAUUAGCUUGUUGGUGGGGUAAUGGCCUACCAAGGCGACGAUCCGUAGCUGGUCUGAGAGGACGAUCAGCCACACUGGGACUGAGACACGGCCCAGACUCCUACGGGAGGCAGCAGUGGGGAAUCUUGCCCAAUGGGCGAAAGCCUGAGGCAGCGACGCCGCGUGAGGGAAGAAGGCCUCGGUUGUAAACCUCUUUCAGGAGGGACGAAGCUACGUCGGUUAAUAGACCCAGAGGUGACGGUACCUCCAAGAAGAAGCCCCGGCUAACUACGUGCCAGCAGCCGC
rnacentral:rRNA from 1 species